AGUGAACUUCGUUUGAAGUGAAAAUCCUUUUUGUUUUUCUUUAAAACAAAAAGAUUGUAACGAAUAGCGGGAACCAUG
rnacentral:sRNA from 1 species